UUUAUGGAACACAGGGACACGACUCUGGCCAGAGAAUGAACACCAUCUGUAUCAAGAAGCUGCAUGUGUGCAUGAAAUGACCCAGGGAGAGUGCAGAGCUGAAAGGAAGAACCCAUGGGCCUGAUAGUGGCAGCGUGGACAAAGGUGAGGGAGAACAAGAGUGAUUGUGAUGUCACAGCGAGAGUUUCAUAAACACGGCAUAAAGGUCAGAUCAGAUGAGGAGUGAGACAUGGCCAAUGGAGCUGGCAAUUCGGAAGACAUGGUGGUCUUUGCAAGAGCCAUCUUACUGGAGACAGAAAGAAGACUGGCCUGCACUCUGGAAGAACAGCAGCGGUAGCAAGGACUCAGAGGGCCUGUGUUCCACAUGAUCUUAUUCUUCUUUGAAUCAAUAUGCAGCAUAAUCUAUCUGUCAGUUCUCCAAGAGUGAUCUGUAGACCCCUACAGGUCUGGAGAGAUACCUCAGGGGGUCUGCUAGGAGAAAAGAAACAUCAUCCCUGGAGACCCAGUGCUUAGCACAGAGCCUGGUACGAAGGAGGCAAUAAUUACAUAUUAUUGAAUAAAUGCAUGAGCCAGUAAUUCAUAUA